rnacentral:ncRNA from 1 species
AUUCCGGUUGAUCCUGCCGGAGGUCACUGCUAUUGGGAUUCGACUAAGCCAUGCGAGUCGAGAGGGUUCGGCCCUCGGCAGACGGCUCAGUAACACGUGGAUAAUCUGCCCUUAGGUGG